UACGUAGGGUGCAAGCGUUAAUCGGAAUUACUGGGCGUAAAGCGUGCGCAGGCGGUUUGUUAAGUUGGAUGUGAAAUCCCCGGGCUCAACCUGGGAACUGCAUCCAAAACUGGCAAGCUAGAGUAUGGUAGAGGGUGGUGGAAUUUCCUGUGUAGCGGUGAAAUGCGUAGAUAUAGGAAGGAACACCAGUGGCGAAGGCGACCACCUGGACUGAUACUGACACUGAGGCGCGAAAGCUAGGGGAGCAAACGGG
rnacentral:rRNA from 1 species